UACGUAGGUGGCAAGCGUUAUCCGGAAUUAUUGGGCGUAAAGCGGACGUAGGCGGUUUUUUAAGUCUGAUGUUAAAGCCCAAGGCUUAACCGUGGAGAGGCAUUGGAAACUGGAAAACUUGAGUGCAGAAGGGGAAAGUGGAAUUCCAUGUGUAGCGGUGAAAUGCGCAGAGAUAUGGAGGAACACCAGUGGCGAAAGCGACUUUCUGGUCUGUAACUGACGCUGAUGUGCGAAAGCGUGGGGAUCAAACAGG
rnacentral:rRNA from 1 species